GAUUCUUGAGCAAGCAAAUUUAAUGAGAGCAAAGAUAUAUGUAUUUAAACAUCCUACACCUCUCGUGAGUGAAAAUGAAUACAUACAUAUUGGAAGCACUGUUCUUCAGUUUGUACAAAUAAUCAAGUGCCAAUUACCUACUUAUAAUAUACAGAAAAAUCAACAAACGUUACAUUCUCAUUCUUUGGUGGGUAGCUAGACUAGCUCUGAUCUCAAUGAUCCUUGAAUCCUUGCUUAACCAAAAACGAAGAAAGCAAAUUUCUCCACAUUAUCAUAUCACCUCUCUAAGGUCAUCCAUUGGUAUUGCAAGACCUAUAGAAUCAUGGUCUUGCAAGCCAUCAUCGUCAAAAUUCAACCAUGAACAGAGAUCUUGUGGCCCACCAAGGUCAUUGGAUACAUCUAGUCCAAUUGUAUCUAAUUCGUUUAGCUGCAAGUUUGCAAAAUCGACGGGUCCACCUGCUUCUUUAGAAGCAUCCUGAGGGAUGUUACCACGAGACAGUGACCCAACUUCUGUGUCUAUUUUAUUGCUAGCAUUAACCACUGAAUGGCCAGAUCCACGAGGUCCAUUUCCAGAUGUUGACAAAUGAUUAAUCUUUUGCUUGGGCUUUGAUUUUGUUUUGCGUUCACUUUUGAAGCCAUCCAAUGAUGCACGACUAGUUCCAGAAACAGAAUUA
rnacentral:misc_RNA from 1 species